ACGAACGCUGGCGGCGUGCUUAACACAUGCCAGUCGAACGGAAAGGCCUGCUUUCCCUUGUGGAUUGCGGGUACUCGAGUGGCGAACGGGUGAGUAACACGUGAGUGAUCUGCCCCCAACUUGGGUAUAAGCCUGGGAAACUGGGUCUAAUUCCCGAUAGGACUGCAGGGUGGUGCCUGUGGUGGAAAACGAUUUUCUAGUGGUUGGGGAUGAGCUCGCGGCCUAUCAGCUUGUUGGUGGGGUAAUGGCCUACCAAGGCGGCGACGGGUAGCCGGCCUGAGAGGGUGGACGGCCACAUUGGGACUGAGAUACGGCCCAGACUCCUACGGGAGGCAGCAGUGGGGAAUAUUGCACAAUGGGCGGAAGCCUGAUGCAGCGACGCCGCGUGGGGGAUGACGGCCUUCGGGUUGUAAACUCCUUUCGACCGCGAGGAAGCCACCUGGUUGGAAGGGUGGUGACGGUAGUGGUAGAAGAAGCACCGGCUAACUACGUG
rnacentral:rRNA from 1 species